CAAUAGCGUAUAUUAAAGUUGUUGCGGUUAAAAAGCUCGUAGUUGGAUUUCUGCCGAGGACGACCGGUCCGCCCUCUGGGUGUGUAUCUGGCUUGGCCUGGGCAUCUUCUUGGAGAACGUAGCUGCACUUGACUGUGUGGUGCGGUGUCCAGGACUUUUACUUUGAGGAAAUUAGAGUGUUUCAAGCAGGCACACGCCUUGAAUACAUUAGCAUGGAAUAAUAAGAUAGGACCUCGGUUCUAUUUUGUUGGUUUCUAGAGCUGAGGUAAUGAUUAAUAGGGAUAGUUGGGGGCAUUCGUAUUUAACUGUCAGAGGUGAAAUUCUUGGAUUUGUUAAAGGCGGACUACUGCGAAAGCAUUUGCCAAGGAUGUUUUCAUUGA
rnacentral:rRNA from 1 species